CGCGGGGCCCAAGUGGCGACCAUGACCUAGCGGCCCGCGCGCCGCGACGGCGGACCGUCGCCUCCGUCGGAAGCAGCGUCCCCGGGGACCCGAAUUGGGGGGACGCGAGGGUUGGGGGACUCAUUGCUUUUUUUCUUUUUCAUUCUUAUUUUCGUUUUUUUCCUCCCUGAGCACCUAGAAGAAAAGGGGAAAACCAAAAGUGAAGAAUUGGCGCCCAGGAAGCGGACGUGGACCCGGUUGUGGGGACCGGGAGGGUUGUGGAGGUCGUUCCUUUUUUUCCGCCUUCCUUUUUUUCGUCCUUCUUGAACAUUUGGAAGAAACGGGUGGGGGAAAUUCGAACUUGAAAAGAAUUGGCGCUCUCGAAAGGGACAAGGACAAAGAGUGGGCCAGGAUGGACGAGGCGGACCCCCAGCCGUUGGGCCUGUUCCCCGAGGGCGAGCUGAUGUCGGUGGGCAUGGACACCUUCAUCCACCGCAUCGACUCCACCGAGGUGAUCUACCAGCCGCGCCGCAAGCGCGCCAAGCUCAUCGGCAAGUACCUGAUGGGGGACCUGCUCGGGGAGGGAUCGUACGGCAAGGUGAAGGAGGUGCUGGACUCCGAGACCUUAUGCCGCAGGGCGGUCAAGAUCCUCAAGAAGAAAAAGCUGCGCAGGAUCCCUAAUGGCGAGGCCAACGUCAAGAAGGAGAUCCAGCUGCUGCGGCGGCUGCGGCAUCGGAAUGUGAUCCAGCUUGUGGAUGUGCUGUACAACGAGGAGAAGCAGAAGAUGUAUAUGGUGAUGGAGUACUGCGUGUGUGGCAUGCAGGAGAUGCUGGACAGUGUGCCGGAGAAGCGCUUCCCCGUGUGCCAGGCUCAUGGGUACUUCCGCCAGCUGAUUGACGGCCUGGAGUACCUACACAGCCAGGGCAUUGUUCACAAGGACAUCAAGCCGGGCAACCUGCUACUCACCACCAAUGGCACACUGAAGAUCUCCGACCUCGGUGUUGCCGAGGCCCUGCACCCUUUCGCUGUGGAUGACACCUGCCGGACAAGCCAGGGCUCCCCGGCAUUCCAGCCCCCAGAGAUUGCCAAUGGACUGGACACCUUUUCAGGUUUCAAGGUGGACAUCUGGUCGGCUGGGGUCACACUCUACAACAUCACCACGGGCCUGUACCCGUUUGAGGGGGACAAUAUCUACAAGCUCUUUGAGAACAUCGGGAGAGGGGACUUCACCAUCCCUUGUGACUGUGGUCCACCACUCUCUGACCUACUCCGAGGGAUGCUGGAGUACGAGCCAGCCAAGAGGUUCUCCAUCCGACAGAUUAGGCAGCACAGCUGGUUCCGGAAGAAACAUCCUCUGGCCGAGGCGCUCGUGCCUAUCCCACCAAGCCCAGACACUAAGGACCGCUGGCGCAGCAUGACCGUAGUGCCCUACCUGGAGGACCUGCAUGGCCGUGCAGAGGAGGAAGAGGAUGAGGACUUGUUUGACAUUGAGGAUGGCAUCAUCUACACCCAGGACUUCACGGUGCCUGGUGUCGAGGAGGCGGCCGAGGCAGGGCUUAGCGAGGAUGCAUGCGACACAUGCAUGUGGAAGAGCCAGGGCGCAGGCCUUCCUGGAGAGGAGCCCGAGGAGGGCUUCGGGGCCUUAGUGUAGCUCCCUGUCUGCUGCCCCACCUGUGUCCUCCAUAAAGCUUUGUCCACUGUGUCUGCAGGUGGAUGCUUGCCGCGACUGCCCUCCCAUCACUAUCCUGACAGGCUCCCCAGCAGGGUUUCAAAGAACAUGCCUGGGUCCAAGGCCUGAGCCAAAGCCUCAGCGCCAAGGUGGUCACCAGCCAAGGCUCUUGUGGCCUUUGUCCCUGUGUCCCUCAAGCCAGGCCCACUCAGCUCCUGGCCUUUCAAACAGUUGUGGGGGGAGGGUAAGGACCUUGAGCUACUAUAUCUCCUGUAGCAGUUGAGGGUUCUGAAAGUGGUGCUCACUGGGUGCCAGGUGGGACCCACAAGGACAGGUGUACACCUCAUGUCCAGGAUGGGCCUUCGCCACAGCCCUUCUCAAGGCUUAAGCCAUCCCCAUGUGGGAAUAGUGUCUUCCACUGUCACCUGGAGCCCUUGCCUUGACUGUCCCACAGGCUGGGCUCCUGGCCAAGAGCUGGUGCCUGACAGGGCCCUCUUCAUGUGGCUCCUCUGUGGGGGCGGGGGAGGGGGUGCAUGAGGGACUCAAGGCUUGAGGUUUAAGGAAGGCAAGGGUCUGGGGACACUGGGGUAGUGUUGCACAGAGUGAAGUGACAGCCUGGUCCCUCUGUACCUGGCACGAGGGUCAUACUCGGCAGCAACAGGACAGGGGCUUUUUUCUACUCAGUGCUUUGUGUGGAGGAGGGGACAGAGUCCCUCCUCAGAGUCCACCUGACCUCAUGCCCUAGUCCCGUCCAGCACGAGAGCCAGCGUGGGUUCUGCUAGUGUGGCCAGGUCAGAGGUUGUGGAUCCAGGAGCAUGGGCAGUGGGGCUUGUGCUGGGUCCCCACAGCUGCAUCACAGAGCACUAGGCUGUGUAGUUCCAUGUAGACACUGCCCACUGGGACCUCUUGUCCUACCAUGAGGGCAGGCCAGCAGAACAAGCUGGGCCUGCAGCCCCCAGCUGGAUGGUCUCCUCUGAGCCCUGCACAGCUAGUAACACUGAGUCGAUUGCUUCAUCUCCUUGUGCCUGUACUGAGGGUCUAGAGCUGGCUCCCUGGAGAGCUCUGAGCCGGUGUACGGCUGCCCAGGCUAGACAGGCAGGACAGGUCCUGGAAGAGGAAGUGGGUCAGAAUGGACAGAGCCACAGCCUGCCCAAGGCUGUUUGUGUGAAUGGCACAGAGCCCC